rnacentral:rRNA from 1 species
UACGUAAGUGGCGAGCGUUAUCCGGAAUCACUGGGCGUAAAGCGUUCGUAGGCGGCGCAGUAAGUUGGAAUUGAAAUCCCAGGGCUUAACUCUGGACCCGGUUCCAAAACUGCUGUGCUUGAGCGUAUCAGAGGGUAGUGGAAUUCCCGGUGUAGCGGUAAUAUGCGUAGAUAUCGGGAGGAACACCAGUGGCGAAGGCGGCUACCUGGGAUAUUGCUGACGCUGAGGAACGAAAGCCAGGGGAGCGAACGGG